rnacentral:rRNA from 1 species
UACAGAGGUCCCAAGCGUUGUUCGGAUUCAUUGGGCGUAAAGGGUGUGUAGGUGGCGCCGUAAGUCGGGUGUGAAAUUUCGGAGCUUAACUCCGAAACUGCAUUCGAUACUGCGGUGCUUGAGGACUGGAGAGGAGACUGGAAUUCAUGGUGUAGCAGUGAAAUGCGUAGAGAUCAUGAGGAAGACCAGUGGCGAAGGCGGGUCUCUGGACAGUUCCUGACACUGAGACACGAAAGCCAGGGGAGCAAACGGG